UGGAAUGUACACGCGAAGCGUCUAACGGACGCGACAAACACAACUUUCAACAACGGAUCUCUUGGCUCUCGCAUCGAUGAAGAACGCAGCGAAAUGCGAUAAGUAAUGUGAAUUGCAGAAUUCAGUGAAUCAUCGAAUCUUUGAACGCACCUUGCGCUCCUUGGUAUUCCAAGGAGCAUGCCUGUUUGAGUGUCAUGAAAUUCUCAACUGCCCCGAGCUCUUGUGGCUCGCGAGGUGAGGUUGGAUUUGGAGGACAUCGCUGGCGCAUGCUUGUCGGCCCCUCUUGAAUGCAUGAGCUUUCCAGUCCUUGGCAAAGUAUCGUCGAUGUGAUAGUCAUCUGCGUCGCUCGAGA
rnacentral:misc_RNA from 1 species